AAUAUUAAAUAUUAUUUGCUUUCAGUGUUUAAUUGAAUUGUGAAACCUGCUCAUGGGGGUUUCUUUGUUCUAGGUUCUCCCGGGGCUUGGUUAUGUCUGCCUCUUUCCUGCACUCCACACACCAAGGAGGCUACAGAAAAUAUGUGCUGAAUGAAUGAAUGAUGAGCAGUUGUCACUGGGGCUGUGUCCACUUAAGAUGUGAGCUCUGUGAAGCCAUCCACUCCACAGAGACUGAUGGAGACCCUGCUACGUCAGGUCCUGGGUUAAGUGUGAUGGACAUGGCAGAAUCAAACAGACACAUGCUCUUGAAGUCCACCUUAUAACAGAAAAUGACCACUUAAAAUUAUUAUAUUGGGGUACUGAGGUUGUGGCUCAGCAGUAGAGUGCUCUCCUAGUAUGUGUGAGGUGCUGGGUUCAAUUCUCAGGACCACAUAAAAAUAAAUAAUAAAAUAAAGGUGUUCAACUACAACUAAAAAUUUUUUUAAAAAAUGUUUAAAAAUUAUUAUGUUAGUGCCUACAUAAUAUGGGACUCUAAUAAAUGUGCUAGAGUAAGUCUCAAAAUGACAGAAAGUUGAAUUCAUAUUUGUUCUAGGAAAGCUAAGAAACU
rnacentral:lncRNA from 1 species